ACCCUGGGUCUCUCCCCCACAUCCUCCAGGAAAGCCCCCUUUCCUCUGCUCUCGGCUUCCCAAGUCUGCUGGCCCCUAAUCAGGGGCAGAAGCAGAUCGAUCCUCCAAGGUGGAAAAGACAAGUGUGCCCCAUUUUUGGAAGGAACCAAGAACUUAAGGUGGUGUGUCCAAGGCCUGAGACAUUUAUUGAUGGAUUUAUGGUGGCUGCAUCAGAAUCCAGAUAUAACGUAAGCCAACAGGAUAGCUUUAACACUUGUUUACAAAGAUGCAUGAUUUAGAGAGCUGCUUUUAUUUUCUCCUUUGGAUUACUUUGUAGUAAAUGCAAACCUUGCAGCCGAGGGAAAACCCACAUAAACUCCAUCUGAGAGUGAUUACUUGGUUUUAAUUUAAUGUUUCUGACCGAUCCUGGAAAUAAAGGUUGGUAUUUCUUUCA